GGGUGGGAACUCCAGGGAGACUGCCGGUGAUAAACCGGAGGAAGGUGGGGACGACGUCAAGUCAUCAUGGCCCUUACGAGUAGGGCUACACACGUGCUACAAUGGCGCAUACAGAGGGGGGCCACCCAGCGAGAG
rnacentral:rRNA from 1 species